CAGUCGUACGAGAAAGGGGCUUCGGCCCUGAGUAGAGUGGCGCACGGGUGAGUAACGCGUGGGUAAUCUGCCCUUGGAUUUGGAAUAACUCCGCGAAAGUGGAGCUAAUACCGGAUAGUCUGGCUUUUAAUAGAAGUCGGUAAAGGAUGCCUCUGCAUAUGCAUUCGUCCGAGGAUGAGCCCGCGUCUCAUUAGCUAGUUGGUAGGGUAAUGGCCUACCAAGGCAACGAUCAGUAGCUGGUCUGAGAGGAUGAUCAGCCACACUGGAACUGAAACACGGUCCAGACUCCUACGGGAGGCAGCAGUGGGGAAUAUUGCGCAAUGGGCGAAAGCCUGACGCAGCAACGCCGUGUGAGGGAUGAAGGCUUUCGGGUCGUAAACCUCUGUCAGAAGGGAAGAACGGGUGAUGGUCUAAUAGGCCGUCAUUUUGACGGUACCUUCAGAGGAAGCACCGGCUAACUCCGUGCCAGCAGCCGCGGUAAUACGGAGGGUGCAAGCGUAAUUCGGAAUUACUGGGCGUAAAGCGCACGUAGGCGGCCUUGUAAGUCAGGGGUGAAAUCCCACGGCUCAACCGUGGAACUGCCUUUGAAACUGCAGGGCUUGAAUCCUGGAGAGGGUGGCGGAAUUCCUGGUGUAGGAGUGAAAUCCGUAGAUAUCAGGAGGAACACCGGUGGCGAAGGCGGCCACCUGGACAGGUAUUG
rnacentral:rRNA from 1 species